rnacentral:rRNA from 1 species
UACGUAGGGUGCGAGCGUUAAUCGGAUUUACUGGGCGUAAAGGGCGCGUAGGCGGCCGCGCAAGUCUGGUGUGAAAGCCCAGGGCUUAACCCUGGAAGGGCACUGGAAACUGUGCGGCUUGAGUGCCGGAGAGGAGGGGGGAAUUCCCGGUGUAGCGGUGAAAUGCGUAGAUAUCGGGAGGAAUACCGGUGGCGAAGGCGCCCCUCUGGACGGUAACUGACGCUGAGGCGCGAAAGCGUGGGGAGCAAACAGG